rnacentral:SRP_RNA from 1 species
UAUGGGGGGUGGUGCGGACAAGGCCUUCGCCAACCCGGUCAGAUCCGGAAGGAAGCAGCCGCAGCGGAUGAUCCUUGGGUCGCUGCCAUCCCCCACCCUU